rnacentral:rRNA from 1 species
GACGAACGGCUGGCGGCGUGCUUAACACAUGCAAGUCGAACGGUGACGAGGAGCUUGCUCCUCCGAUCAGUGGCGAACGGGUGAGUAACACGUGAGCAACCUGCCCCAGACUCUGGGAUAACAGUUGGAAACAGCUGCUAAUACCGGAUACGAGACGGAGAGGCAUCUCUACCGUCUGGAAAGUUUUUCGGUCUGGGAUGGACUCGCGGCCUAUCAGCUAGUUGGUGAGGUAAUGGCUCACCAAGGCGACGACGGGUAGCCGGCCUGAGAGGGCGACCGGCCACACUGGGACUGAGACACGGCCCAGACUCCUACGGGAGGCAGCAGUGGGGAAUAUUGCACAAUGGGCGAAAGCCUGAUGCAGCGACGCCGCGCGAGGGAUGACGGCCUUCGGGUUGUAAACCUCUUUCAGCAGGGAAGAAGCGCAAGUGACGGUACCUGCAGAAGAAGCACCGGCUAACUACGUG